UGGUCCUUUAACCUGCACAACCCCAAGGGGUCUUCUCUUCCCUCUCUCUCUCUCUUCUCUCUCUCUCUCUCUAUCUCUGGGCAUUUUUAUGUUGAAUUCUUCUUUAAACCCUUCUAGUCUUUGCACUUAAUUUUAAGCAGGGAGGGGUGUUGUGUGAGAGAAAGCUCAUGAGAAAAGAAACUGUAAAAAGUCCUGUCAUGCUUUUCCACGGCUUUCUUGAACUUCUCUUUCAAUUUUUUCUUCAUAAUUUUGCUAGCCGCUUUUGGUGCAGCUAUAGCUAGCAUAGAAGUUCAAGAAAGCUGUGGAAUAACAUGGCAAACGAGGACUUUUUAAUUAUCAGUUUGAUAGGCAUUACCUCACUGAUUUUCUGAUUUUCUUACCAUUGCAGCAUGGGAUUCUUCCCUUCCACGAGUUGAGAAGGUCGGGCGGCGGCUUCAGCAAUGGUUCUUGUUAAAUUUUCCGUCUCUGUUUAGUGUAGUUGAUUUGGAUAUAAAAACUUGUGUUUAGUGUUUGCUUCUGUAUUAUUAUAAUAGGCCUGCAGCUGCUGCAGCAAUUAUUGUGUAACUUGAUAACCCUAAAAAUUGGUUUCUCAUAGUACAGUAAGGAGGAUCUUGGAGAUGUAAAUGGGUACUUGCGAGGAUUCAAUUUGAUAAUAUAAAGUUCGGGUAUUCUAUAUUUGGUUAUGAGACAAUUUUAUUUAUGUCAUGCGUUCAAAGCAAAUUUUCCAAUAAUAGUAGUUGGAUUCAAUUA